CUCCCAAUAAAAUAUGUAUUGCUGUUUUCUGGCAUCACAUUUGCUGUCUGAAUUUGGGUUAUCUAUUACACCAUUGUACGUAUCACAACAGGGCUCAAAGUAUUUUUAUGUCUGAAUAAGUCAUUUAUUCUAUAAUAAACAUUAAGGAUAUGCUGCUGUAAUGUAUUUAAUUUCUGGAGAAAAUGAAAGGCAAGCAAGUAGAGAAGUUACAAUAGGUUGUUUAAAACUGUUUGUGCUAGGCAGAAUUAGACAGGAAACAAAUGAAGUUUUAUGGAAAAUCAGUUAAUACCCAGUGGUACAAAAGUUGGCUUUGCCAAGGACUCUUCAUCCCUCAGAAAUAUUCCACGCCUCCUGUUGGAUAUGCAGAGCCUGGCCCCAGAGGAGCUCUGUGGUUUGGGUGGGACAUUCGGGGGGAAGGGGGCUCAGAGCAUUUCCUGCAGACAGCAGGGACUGCCCCACUUCUGUCUGGGUGGGAGAUGGGGGAGCUGCUUUCAGCCUGGGACACCAGGCACAGGAAUCAGGGUGUAAGCAUUUUGUGCUUUAUUUAUUUACUUAUGGACAUUUCCCACAGCUGCCUGAGAUGAGAGCACCCCUGAGGCUGCUCCUGGGCCAGGUCACUGUGCCCAGCCCAAAGUUCACUGCUGUGUACAAAGCUCCAGGUGCUCUCUGCUCUCUGCUCCAAGGAGAUCCUCUUCACAGCAGGAAGCCUGCCCAGGGUCAUCCUGUGAGACUUAGCUCUUCAGUGAAACCACAAAUCCAGAGGAGUAGGGGGAGUCCAGUUCAGGGAACAACAUCUGUUGGGACCAUUGAACAAAGGGUAAGAAACAUGUCUGCUGCUCUGGAAAAUAAUUAUUCCUCUCUCUGCACUUCAGUUAAUCAUUUGCCAUGGUGUUUUUGGUUUUGGGAUGUCAGACAGAGAUAUUUCAGAGGAAGACUCUUUCAUGGUGUUUCUGAUGGAAAAAUCAACACUUUGCCCCCACUGUUUAUAAUGUGCCAUCACUGGCCAAGCAUUGUCUGUUCUGCCAAGGGGCUACCAUGGGCUGCUUCCCCAGGUAAGUGGAAGCUGCUUGGAGCCUUCCAAAGGCACUGGUGAGGCAGAAGGGGAGGUUUGAUGUCAGUAAGAGCCAGACUGCUGUGAUUAGGCUGAAUCAGUGUUUACAGCUGGAUCAGUAUUUACAGCUGGACUUUUCCAAGGUCCCAGCAUAGGCUGACUUUGAGUGAACAUUCCACAGCUCUCUGUCCAACAACGACCCCUGAAAAUGCAGAGAGGGAAUUACAAAGGUAGUUUAAGGCUCCUGAGUAAAUGGGUACUAACCUGAUGAAUUAAUAUUCUCAAUCAUACAUAGCAAUCCAG
rnacentral:lncRNA from 1 species